rnacentral:rRNA from 1 species
CAUGCAAGUCGAACGAGAAUCUACUGAAAGAGUUUUCGGACAAUGGAUGUAGAGGAAAGUGGCGGACGGGUGAGUAACGCGUGAGGAACCUGCCUUGAAGAGGGGGACAACAGUUGGAAACGACUGCUAAUACCGCAUGACGCAUAGAGGUCGCAUGAUCUUUAUGCCAAAGAUUUAUCGCUUCAAGAUGGCCUCGCGUCUGAUUAGCUGGUUGGCGGGGUAACGGCCCACCAAGGCGACGAUCAGUAGCCGGACUGAGAGGUUGAACGGCCACAUUGGGACUGAGAUACGGCCCAGACUCCUACGGGAGGCAGCAGUGGGGAAUAUUGGGCAAUGGGCGCAAGCCUGACCCAGCAACGCCGCGUGAAGGAAGAAGGCUUUCGGGUUGUAAACUUCUUUUAAGAGGGAAGAGCAGAAGACGGUACCUCUAGAAUAAGCCACGGCUAACUACGUGCCAGCAGCCGCGGUAAUACGUAGGUGGCAAGCGUUGUCCGGAUUUACUGGGUGUAAAGGGCGUGCAGCCGGGUCUGCAAGUCAGAUGUGAAAUCCAUGGGCUUAACCCAUGAACUGCAUUUGAAACUGUAUUUCUUGAGUACUGGAGAGGCAAUCGGAAUUCCUAGUGUAGCGGUGAAAUGCGUAGAUAUUAGGAGGAACACCAGUGGCGAAGGCGGAUUGCUGGACAGCAACUGACGGUGAGGCGCGAAAGUGUGGGG